UGGGGAAUCUUGCGCAAUGGGCGAAAGCCUGACGCAGCCAUGCCGCGUGAAUGAUGAAGGUCUUAGGAUUGUAAAAUUCUUUCACCGGGGACGAUAAUGACGGUACCCGGAGAAGAAGCACCGGCUAACUACGUGCCAGCAGCCGCGGUAAUACGUAGGGUGCGAGCGUUAAUCGGAAUUACUGGGCGUAAAGCGUGCGUAGGUGGUGGUUUAAGUCUGCUGUGAAAGCCCUGGGCUCAACCUGGGAAUUGCAGUGGAUACUGGAUCACUAGAGUGUGGUAGAGGGAUGCGGAAUUUCUGGUGUAGCAGUGAAAUGCGUAGAUAUGCGGAGGAACACCGAUGGCGAAGGCAAUCCCCUGGACCUGUACUGACGCUCAUGCACGAAAGCGUGGGGAGCAAACA
rnacentral:rRNA from 1 species